GAUGAACGCUGGCGGCGUGCCUAAUACAUGCAAGUCGAGCGAACAGACGAGGAGCUUGCUCCUCUGACGUUAGCGGCGGACGGGUGAGUAACACGUGGAUAACCUACCUAUAAGACUGGGAUAACUUCGGGAAACCGGAGCUAAUACCGGAUAAUAUAUUGAACCGCAUGGUUCAAUAGUGAAAGACGGUUUUGCUGUCACUUAUAGAUGGAUCCGCGCCGCAUUAGCUAGUUGGUAAGGUAACGGCUUACCAAGGCAACGAUGCGUAGCCGACCUGAGAGGGUGAUCGGCCACACUGGAAUUGAGACACGGUCCAGACUCCUACGGGAGGCAGCAGUAGGGAAUCUUCCGCAAUGGGCGAAAGCCUGACGGAGCAACGCCGCUUGAGUGAUGAAGGUCUUCGGAUCGUAAAACUCUGUUAUUAGGGAAGAACAAAUGUGUAAGUAACUAUGCACGUCUUGACGGUACCUAAUCAGAAAGCCACGGCUAACUACGUG
rnacentral:rRNA from 1 species